AGUGAACGCUGGCGGUAGGCCUAACACAUGCAAGUCGAACGGCAGCACAGUAAGAGCUUGCUCUUACGGUUGGCGAGUGGCGGACGGGUGAGGAAUACAUCGGAAUCUACUUUUUCGUGGGGGAUAACGUAGGGAAACUUACGCUAAUACCGCAUACGACCUACGGGUGAAAGCAGGGGAUCUUCGGACCUUGCGCGAUUGAAUGAGCCGAUGUCGGAUUAGCUAGUUGGCGGGGUAAAGGCCCACCAAGGCGACGAUCCGUAGCUGGUCUGAGAGGAUGAUCAGCCACACUGGAACUGAGACACGGUCCAGACUCCUACGGGAGGCAGCAGUGGGGAAUAUUGGGCAAUGGGCGAAAGCCUGAUCGAGCAAUGCCGCGUGAGUGAAGAAGGUCUUCGGGUUGUAAAGCCCUUUUAUUGGGGAAGAAAAACAGCGGGAUAAUACCCCGCUGUUCUGACGGUACCCAAAGAAAAAGCACCGGCUAACUACGUG
rnacentral:rRNA from 1 species